CGAAACCUGCAGUUCAAAAGUUUAAAUUUCUAUUUUUUAUUUUGUUGCAAUUUCUAACAAUAAUAAUAUUAUGUAGUUAGGUAUUUUAUUAUAUUUUUAGUUAUUUUGUUAUUGUUAAGGUCAGAGCCGGACACAAAGGUGAGUGUAAACAAAGGUGAGUUUAUUGAAGUGAGUCCAAGCAAGGUGAGUAUUCAAAAGGUGCAGUGACAAUCCGUGAAUGACUGGUUUCUUGUUUCAGCAGGUUAGGAAGACGAGACGAGGGGAACCACACAGACUCACACUUAUACACCGUCGACGAAGGAUCUGGAAGGGGAAGACAACAGAGGCAAAUGGAGAACAACAGGAAUGGAUCUUAAAAGGUAAGUCUUAGGAAGGUAAGGAUAUCUUAGUCUUUCUUGAGAUGAGAGUCCACGUAGCAAUCAACGAGAUCGGACGGCGUAGUGUGAGUGGUGCUGGUUUAAGUAGCCGGGUUGAUUACUGAGGUGAUUUGGUGCAGGUGCGGGUGAUUAGUACUCUGGUGACCUGGAACGCUGUGAUUGGUGGGGUGAAGGGCCUGACUGAUUCGUGACAGUUAUAUUUUUAGUUUUAUUGUAUUUUAAUCGAGGUCAUCACUGGGGAUAUGUCUCUGGGGCUCAUCUGGGUGUCCUGGUCUCCGCUCACGAUCAGGGCUGUAGACAUCAUCUUUUGGUGCUGAUCCACCAUCUGAUCGGAUACGGACUGAGAAACAGAAUAGGAGAGAAACAGACAAAUAUUAGCGUAGAUGCCAUUCUACUUACGAUGUAACGAGUACAUUGUGUGUUAUGGGGAGUGUUCACGGUUCCGGUUGAUCUACACUGUGAGACCAAAUAGUAAAUCUUUCAUAAAGGAAUUGGGUUGUAAUUACUCAAAAUACGUAAAAACGUUCAUUUGCCUCUAAUUAUUUGAGUAAUUAGUACAAAAAUGUAAUUUUAAGUUUACAGCACUCAAAUGCUUUCAUUUGUGUUUGGCAGUGUACUCAAAUAAUUUUAGUACAACCCCGUCUGACAUCACGCACGUGCUUACGUGCUCUGCCCUCAACUAGCUGCUGCAACUUUUGAAAAGACGCCAUGUUGUUGUUGCGCUGACUCAUCUCGGAUUUAUUUAAAUAAGUUUGCAACACUCGCUCGUAUUUUAUAGAAAUAACGUAGGAGGGGAUAUUUUUAGAUCGGGAAUUUGCUGUGGUGUUGCCUGUGAGGACCUUUGUGGGGAAACACGGCAUGCGGUUUUCUGAACCUGCCAGUUAUGAGCUUCUCUUCAUCGUGCUGCCCGCGCAACUGGUGAGUUAACGAUAAAAGUGAAGCAGCUGGAAGUUUAGUUUGGUAUAUUGAUGUCCAAUUAUUAAUUUUAAUACACAUUCAUUGUAUAGAGAUACUGGAACCUACAGAUUGGUGAGAUCCUGGAUUGCUGGCCUGCUUUAAAAUGGAGUCACAGGAAAUAUUAACAUCCAUGCUGCUGUCAGUGAUGUCCAUGAUGAGCUGCUGUCCUCCGUGCUCCCUCCGCCUAUCUGCUUGAGGAUGACUCCAACGUUCUCAAGAUGGGGGAUGUAGAACAAUCUGAUGAACCAGACGCUGGAGAUUUGUCACUUCGUCUCCUCUCCAUUAGUGACAAUUCAACAGUUGCCAUGUUCAUCUGCUCAGAGAAGACUGAAGUUGCACUUUGGGUAACAUAGUUAACGAUUUCCCCAUAUUGGCUCAUGCAUUUGUCAUGCUUUUUGGACUAACUUACACCUUGGAUCUAAGUUCCCCAAAAGAGUUGGACAAUACAUGUGACUUUACCCAGAAAGUCUUGAUGGGUCUGGAGGAUGGGAAGCUGAGACCCAGAGCGUUGAGUCUUAAAAAUGAACUUUUGUCAGUAGAGUUUCCUCAGUGUUUUA